rnacentral:rRNA from 1 species
UACGGGGGGGGCAAGCGUUGUUCGGAAUUACUGGGCGUAAAGGGCUCGUAGGUGGCCAACUAAGUCAGACGUGAAAUCCCUCGGCUUAACCGGGGAACUGCGUCUGAUACUGGAUGGCUUGAGUUUGGGAGAGGGACGCGGAAUUCCAGGUGUAGCGGUGAAAUGCGUAGAUAUCUGGAGGAACACCGGUGGCGAAGGCGGCGUCCUGGACACAUAUUGACGCUCAUGCACGAAAGCGUGGGGAGCAAACAGG